GACACAGAGAAUGUGUCUAUUGUUCUCAUUAUGCAUGUACUAUAUGUGUUCAUAGGUGCAUGUAUGUGCAGUGGCAUGUGCGUCCAGCCCAUCCUCGAUUAACACAAAACAUUACUUAGAUACAGUAUAUAGUCAUGUGAUCUGGGGACAAUUUAUAUAUCAUCGGGGUUCAGUUUCAAGAGCAAACAGCCUUCGGAAACUGGUGAGUAACUCAUCUUGACCAACCUCAAGACAGGUCUUAAUCCAAGCAUGUCAUACAGAGAGGACGGUGAGCAUGAGGAGCAAGAGGGUAAGUUUUCAUCUGUUUUGCUCUUCUGUCAAUAACAAAUCUGCAUUGGGUUAGAUCUCAAAACCAUAGUUUUGUCCAUUAAG